UACGUAGGGGGCAAGCGUUGUUCGGAAUUACUGGGCGUAAAGCGCACGUAGGCGGCUUUCUAAGUCGGGUGUGAAAUCUCAGAGCUCAACUCUGAAACUGCACUCGAUACUGCUCUGCUUGAGGACUGGAGAGGAGACUGGAAUUCACGGUGUAGCAGUGAAAUGCGUAGAUAUCGUGAGGAAGACCAGUGGCGAAGGCGGGUCUCUGGACAGUUCCUGACGCUGAGGCGCGAAGGCCAGGGGAGCAAACGGG
rnacentral:rRNA from 1 species